rnacentral:rRNA from 1 species
GAGAUAAGGCCCAGUCUCCUACGGGAGCCAGCAGUCUAGAAAUUUGGGCAAUGGGCGAAAGCCUGACCCAGCGACGCCGCGUGGGGGAUGAAGCUUCUCGGAGUGUAAACCCCUGUUAGGUGGGACGAAAGCCCGUAUACGAAUAGUAGGCGGGUUUGACGGUACCACCAGAGGAAGCUCCGGCUAACUCCGUGCCAGCAGCCGCGGUAAUACGGGGGGAGCAAGCGUUGUUCGGAGUUAUUGGGCGUAAAGGGCGUACAGGCGGUGGUGUCAGUCAGAUGUGAAAUCCCCCGGCUCAACCGGAGACCCUGCAUUUGAUACUGCAUCACUUGAGUACCAGGA